UACAGAGGGUGCGAGCGUUAAUCGGAAUUACUGGGCGUAAAGCGCACGUAGUCGGCUUUGCAAGUCGGGUGUGAAAUCCCCGGGCUCAACCUGGGAACUGCAUCCGAGACUGCAUUGCUAGAGUAUGGGAGAGGGAAGCGGAAUUUCUGGUGUAGCAGUGAAAUGCGUAGAUAUCAGGAGGAACACCGGUGGCGAAGGCGGAUCUCUGGGCCUUACCUGACGCUCAGGCGCGAAAAGCUAGGGGGAGCGAACAGG
rnacentral:rRNA from 1 species